GGAAAUGGAGGGCACAUCCAUUAGCGUUACUUCUAGUCUUUUUUUCUUACUUUACGCAUUUCACUCCUUGAAAGGAGUAACUUGACAGAUGGGUGAGUUUGCACACUCAAUUCUUCCUUCUGCUUUUCUAUUUUCAUAUCUUUUUGGCUCAGAGAACCCACAUUCUGGACUUUUUCCUAUAUGUAAAGGAUUUUCAAUGGCAGUUCCUAAAAUAGGGAGGUCCACAGUUGUCCAGCAGUUCUCGUCCCUGUGUGGGUAAACCUGCCAAAUUUUAUGUUCAAGUGUACUAGGUGAUUUACAUACAUCACUUCAUUUAAUGUUUACAAAAGUUGGAAGUCACUAUUUCCAUUGUACAGAUGGGGAAAUUGAGGCUAAGCAACUCAUUUGUUUAUUCAGUGUCCCCAGUUGGAAUAUUGACUGAGAGAGUAUUAGAAUUUAGGUCUGACUGACUAUACAAGACUUGUGCUUUUAAUCAUUUGUAUCACUGUCUCCCUGACAGAAGAGGCUGCUUCUCUUAAAACAAAGCAAAACAAAAUAACAAAACCUAAUGCAGCUCAUAGAAAAGAAACUGAUUUCCAGGCACUUUUAUUUUGUAUUUUCUAGGAACCACCUGGUAUAAGUUGAAGUGUCAAAAAAUUACACAAUAAAUGUCCAAUUUUCAGAGUGGGGCUCGAAACAGCAGAAGCCUUAGCUGAGUGGAUGAUCGUGUGAAUGACUGGCCUUUUCAUGCCUCUUCCCUGAGCUACCGCAAGUGCUCACACGGGAAGAGCACAAUCUCCAGGAGCUUCUGCAGCAACUUCGCAUUCUUCAGUAAGGUGUUCUCCUACAGCACAUGCUGCCUUCAGAAUUUCAGUAAUUGCUCAUAAAUCCUACUAAGCUCCGGAAGCUUUUGGUCCAUUUGUUCAGCUCUGGUGUGCUGUGGACGAAUAAACCAGAGUGAGACCCCAGUACUUGGAAUCAACUCUUGGGAAUUAAACAGCCCAGUAAGAUGCUGGUUUAUUCCCAUCAGAUAUGAUGGCUUAGAGUAAACAUACCUUGUAUGAUGGGCCGACAUGCAAUGCCUCAUUUCUGGGAAAGCAGAAAGCACCUAGAGCCUUCCUCCAUUGUGAUAUCAGUGGAGGUCAACAGAACACAGAUCAGAGACUAAAUACAGGAAUAAUUACAACUUUCCUUCAUUGCCAAAAGAAAUUGGUAAUAUGCUUGUUUGACUAUAGCCCUGGGCUCAACACAGAGGCUCAAGAACUGGAUAGUAUUCUCAUCACCUUAGAGUUUACAAAGGGAGUUUGCAUCCUCAAUGUCUUUGUUCUCCCAUUGAGAAAAUGGAGGGAGAGCUCCCAGGUAAAACAGAAGCCCUCCUAUACCUUUUUGUAUGUCUUCCCAUAGGUACUGAGAGGUAAUGAACACUAAGCCACAUUUUUCAUCUCCCAUCUUUUACUUGACACUGUGUAUCCAGUUCCUGUUCUAGAUGCAAAGUCUCACUGAAGUAGCAUGAUGACUACUUGUAUUUUCUUUCUUUCCAUCCAUUCGCUAGAUUUGCAACCUAAACCCAUAUAAUCUCUGCUGUGCUCUGAAUGUUUUUGUCCCUCCCUCAAAGUUGGUAUGUUGAAAUCCUAAUUCCCAAGGCAAUGGCUUUAAGAGGUGGCAUCUUUGGGAGGGGAUUGGGUCAUGAAGUUGGAGUCUUCAUAAGUGGGAUUUGUUCCCCUAUGAAAGAGGUCUAGAGAGAGUCCUCCACCCUUCCAUCAUGUGAGGUUAUAGUGAGAAGACAGCUGUCUAUGAGGAAGAUGCCCUUACCUAGCUCCAAAUCUGCUUGCACCUUGAUCUAGGACUUCUCAGCCUCCAGAACUGUGAGGAAUAAAGUUUUGUUGUUUAUAAGCUACCUAGUCUAUGAUAUUUUGUUAUAGCUGCCUGAAAGACUAAAAUAAUCCCUGAGAAAGUCUUUAUAAAACAUGACUUCCAUCAAGCACGUCUUGUACUCAUAAGCUAUCACACACCCCAAGUCUACACAUGUCAACUAGCAUGCAAGAUUGAAAAGUCAUGUAUAGAUAUGCGUUAUAACCAAGCUUGAUUUCUGGCUAUUGUUUAAUAAAAAGUUUCCCAGCAAAGCUAGAUUUUUGAUUGUCUUCUAAGGAUAACAAGCUGG
rnacentral:lncRNA from 1 species